rnacentral:rRNA from 2 species
GACAGAGGGUGCAAACGUUGUUCGGAAUUACUGGGCGUAAAGCGCGUGUAGGCGGCUUGGCAAGUCGGGUGUGAAAGCCCCGGGCUCAACCUGGGAAGUGCACUCGAAACUGCUUGGCUUGAGUACUGGAGAGGGAAGCGGAAUUCUCGGUGUAGAGGUGAAAUUCGUAGAUAUCGAGAGGAACACCGGUGGCGAAGGCGGCUUCCUGGACAGUUACUGACGCUGAGACGCGAAAGCGUGGGGAGCAAAC